rnacentral:lncRNA from 1 species
AUUAUUAUAUUUUAAUUUAAUAAUGAAAAAAAAAAAGAAGAGCGGACGCCAAAAAGAAAAUGAAAUAGAGUUUAAUAGGCAUCUUUAGGUUACAGGGAUAAUUUUUUUUCUCUUUCCUGCUUCUUCUCUCUUCUCUCUAUCUCCUCUCUCUCUCUCCCAUUCUCAAUUGUAUUCUCUUUUGGUUUAUUUGGGGAGCUAAAAAAAAAUACAGAGAGAAAUCGCCAUAUAAAUCCACUUUCUUCUUCAACCCGAAAUUAAAGGAAACCUCUUUUCUCUUUUUUUAGCUUUUUCUUCACCGGUGAAAUCUCCCUUCUCUCUCUCNNN